CCAUACAAGCCGGGGAAUUAGCGGAGCCCUGUACCUGAAAUCCGCUACAGCAGGGGUGUAUUCCUUUUUUGAGGGUCAAGCCGGUACGGUCCGAGGCGUAUCCUGCUGCGUUGAAGAGCGGGUCUUGCGCAAUCGGAAACUGCGAACCAUGUCAGGUGGGGAACCAAGCAGCAUUAAGUAGUCAUCCCGAUGUGCCGCGAGGAAGCCUGCUCCGAGCAGGAGGUACGAUGAUCGCGUAUCUGUGAGAUUCGAUCUUUAGGUGUAUGG
rnacentral:SRP_RNA from 1 species